GGAUGAUCACAAGGCCUACUUAAGACGGCAGCACUGCAUUACUCGUCGCUGGAUCGUUGAGCUAUCAGCGUCAGUCACUCAACCGUUCGAGCUGCUGGCCAAAGGCCUCGUGCCUAAACAGAGAAAGUUGGGUGAGGAACAUGAAGACGAGGAGGAAGAGGAGAAAUGCCCAAUUUGCUUGGCUAUCAUGGAGGAGGGGGAGGA